rnacentral:lncRNA from 1 species
GCAAUCUUCAUCUCAUUACUCCUCCAGCUCUAUCAAACUCAAAUCAUGCUUGCAAUUUCCAUAUCAAUUGAAAGUGGAAUAAAAAAGUGGGAUCCCAAAUUUCUUAAUUUGAAGAACAAACUCAUCUUCCUAAAAACCAGAUCUUAAUUUGAAAGUGGAAUUUAGUGAAAUCAGAAAAAUGAUCCUUCCUCCCAUGCUCCCCAAUUUAUUUAAGAAC